rnacentral:misc_RNA from 1 species
AGCGUUUCUUCUUCAGCGCGUUUCUUGCAAGGUAAGCGGCCCCGCACUGUGUGUGUGUGUGUGCGUCUGUUUACUUUCUGUUUUUCUGUGUGAUUUGCAUCUGCAAGCGCCAGCCGAUUGUACGAAGACGCCAACAGGCAUAUUGGUGUACGUACGGUUCGCACACGACCCUACUCUCUACUCGCACGCGUGGACGAGUAAGCAAGGAAGAACGAAAAACAACAGCCAAAAGGGAGAGGCGGGCAAGAGUGGUGGAAAGCGGAAGCGACACAGCAGACGCGCGUGGGGUUGCACAAGAGCAAUCCGUCUUUACUAUUUUUUCUCCGUGCGCCCGCCAUCCGUCCAUCUCUCUGUCUCUCGCUGUAACUUCAACGGGUGUGAGCUCGCAUUUGCCUGCGGAUCUUUCCCAAGGCAAGAAGAGAGCGCUGAAGACGCCGAGGGCGACACCCCAAGGGACCAGUUGGUGAAAGAGAGGUCGAUACAAGCAGAGAAGCCAGGCGAUCAACUCCACAGUCAAUACAGUGCAGGUACUCUCUACCUUCGACACACACACACACAAACACAAACACAAACACACAUACGCACGCACAUCGUGCAAACGAGGUGGGUGAGCUGUCAACGCACACCUCGGCACAGGGAAUCCACUAAAGAUAAGAAGAAGCGAAAAAGGUCAACAGGAAGGAGCAAGAAUACGUGCGAAACGCGAGGUGAUUCAAAUACUUCAAGCCGAAAUCCGUCCUCCUGUUAUUGGCCUUUUCUCUCUUUUUUGAGUGUUGUCGUGCUGCGAAGUGCCCGUGUUGCUCGAAGUAUCUGAGGAACGAGAGAAAAAGGUGUGUGCGUGCGUUCUUGUGUGUCUGCUGUUGAUUGGCUGCUGUGCUGGCGUGAAAACGAGGGAGAGAGUCUCUGAUUGUGGGAGUGAUACCCGAUAAAGCUGACGAACUUCGAAGUUGAAGAGAGCCGACGCGGCGACAUCCGAGAAGUGCGAAAAGGUUCAACCAUCGAAAAGUGAUCAGCAACGAAAACAAGAAGAGAGGCAGAAGACACGGCAAACAAACGCACACACACACACACACACACACACAACUAAAAGACGUAGUAGUGGUAGAAGCAUUGUGAUUUUCUUUUCAUGUGUGCGCGUUCUUUCCUUCCUUUUCUUUCUCUUUCAACAGUACUUCGGUAAGAAGAAAACCGAAGGCAAACCAAGUGCACGUGCACCGCAAACACAUACACACAAAGACGGUGCGUGAAGUACAGAUACGAUAUUUUGCGCUUGUGUCCGUGUCUGUGUGUGGUUGUGUGUUUGUGCCUCUGCGUCGCUUUCUUCCGUUCUCUUUGGAUUGGUUUCCAUUUUUGACCUGCUUUGUGUCCUCGCAAUCGAAUCCCUCCCCUCCCCCUUCACCCUUUCCAUUUACGCAUCCACACCCACACACAUCUCUCUCCCUUUCCUCCUUUUUUUUGCUCAUUUCCUUUUUUUUUGUUCUUUCUUACGUCAUUCACAGACAAGGCACUCUUCCGGGUCCUUUCCCCACUUCCUUCUCUGUUACUUCUUUUUUUUCCUGUUUUCUUGUCGACCCUCACUACCUUUCGUAACUGGCGACGACCGCCUCUGACCGCCAGGAUCAUCACUACCAAUACUACUAUUAGUACGACUGCCGUUUCUAUUACUAGCAGAAUAACAUACCCAGCGCCACACACACACACACACACACACACAAACGCAUACGCAAGCAAACAACAACAAAAUUUUUUUCUCUGACCUUUUUUAUUUCUAUUUUCGUGCCACAUCAUCAAUAAAAUCCAUCAUACAGCAUCACAGGCCGACACUGCAACGAAGCACUGCUGCGACGACGACGACUACUGCCUCCUUCACCUUUUCGUUUUCUUUUUGGUGUUUAUAUCUCCUCUCUUCUUCUUUUCGUCGUUUCUCGUUGCUUUUCUGUUGUUGUUUGCCAUCACGGCACACCACCACGCUGUUUUAUAUCUCUUCCUAUUGCUCUAUCUUUCUGUUUGACCCAGCUUUUCAGCCUUUUUUUUUCUCUUGCUUCUGUGCGUGUGUGUGUGUGUGUGUUAGACCGUUUUUCUCACUAGCCUGUACUGCACAACCACGGCCUUCCGUGCCUUUUUAUUUGUAUUGCCCAUCUCUCGCCGUCUUCUCUUUUGGUCUGCCAGUCUUUGAGCGCGUGUGUGUGCAUCCCCAUCCCCUCCCUCCCGUUCUCAGCAGGGUGUACAUGCAAUCCUGCGUCUCUGUGUGCUACUCUCUCUUUCUCUCGCACCUAAAACGCUUUUCCUCCCUCUUUCCGUGCCUCCGUUGACGCGGCCUCUCUUUUCUCCACUGUCCUGUUUUUUUUUGUUUUCACAUCACAGUUGGUGGAGCGCCGGCGCAUUCUUGAGGGUCAUCGAGCGAGCGAAUAGCAGGAAACGAGACAAAAGGUAGCACAUACGUACAUAUACUGAUUACAAGGACAAGGAGGUGUUUCGCACCGAAAGGGAACAGAAGCGGAAAGGACCACCUCGAAGCGUGUGCUCUUUCUGUUUACUCCUCUUUUUUCCCCAUCUUUGCUGCUUGAAUUUUUCUUCUUCAGGUUAACUAGGUGUGGCCGCUGCGAGUGCAUCGGCGCCUCAUUCUUGUGCGUGUGUUUUUCUGUGUCUGCCUGUUUGCCUGCACCUUCGCACAGCGUUGCUCUUCUGGCCUCUCUUGACUUCGCGCCACCUUCCUUUUCUUUUUUACCAGCUCACUUUCUCGCCUUGUGACUCUCUGCACGCGUGCGUGUGUGCGUGUGUACGGGGAGCGCCUCUGUGUCUGAGAGUGACGGUAUUGUGGGAUUGCUCAGUGCCUGGGCGACGUGCAUUGCGUCCAGCCCGUCUGCACCGCUCACACUGUGAAGACCAAACAAUAAACGCAUUCUUUCUAAGGCGCUGCUUCAACAUCCGUCGCCAGCACAUCAGGCAGCCGCUAGGAGACAAAUCGAAAAGGAGGCUACACCCCCCCUUCUCCUUUUCCAGUGGACGACCACGUCUCCUUUUCUCUCCAUAUAUAUAUAUAUAUUUCUUUUUCUUACGCUGUUCUCUUGCUUGUCUUUUCCCUUCUCUCCAUCCCGAGCAGCGGCCGCCCCGACAGAGAUUCUUUCCUUUCUCACGUGUUUGUCUCUGGUCUUCCCUUUCUAUUAGCGUAGCGCAUUUCGUGGUUUGAUCUGUACUUCGCUGUUCACGCUUGCCAUUCGCUCGGCUUUGACGUGCACACAGUGCGGGUGGAGGUGGUUGUGGUGGCUUGGCCGCGUCUUCUCUCUUUUUUUUUGCUCGUUCUUGUUGUUGUUCUCGUUUUGGUUGCGCUUGAAUCGUCCGUGUUGCGGUGCGUCGGAGGUUGGCGAGAGCACGCUUGCCCUUCGUUGUCCCCUCCCUUUUUUUAUCGGGAGUUUUUUUUUUCGCUCCUUUUCGUUUGCUAUUCUGUGUCUGCGCUUGCCUGCUUGCUUGUCAUCUCGCUGCCUCCCUUCCUCUGCAUCUCUCUGCGUGUGUGCUUCGUGUUUCCGCCCACUCGACAAGUUCCGUUGAUUCCCUUUUCUUCUGCUGCCAUUUGUGUGCGCUUACGCUGCAGACCCACCCGGGAGGUGCCUUGUGUGCCGUGCGAAGGCAGCUCACUGUCAGCAGAGAGGACAAACCGCGCCCCGUAUUCAACGAUACACGCGACAAGCUAACCGUAAACAGGAGAUUUCGCGUGCUCGCACAAAAACCGAGAAGACUGCUGAUCAGAGGGAGGCGUGGACGCAAAGGCAGCACUACACCACACCGCACCAAAGGCGACGUUAUCAGGUGAGAGCCCGCCUUGCCUUUUGGUGACUGCCAGCUUUGUGAGGCCAUGUUGGUGGAAUCCGCAAUGGAGUCCGGACCCUGUGGCGACCGGCACUUCAGCUCCACAGACACGCCGACGGUGACGCGCACGCGUCCAUCUCCCACGACUUCUACUAUCUCCGUGGAGGAGCAGAUGUGCCACCUGACGGAUCCACACGUCGCGCCGCCCGCCGCAGUUGCCGUCGCAGAUGGCCAUGCGCCGAAGGCGUCGAUUGUGUCCGCGGAGGAGGUGCGUCGCGGGCUGCCACGCAGACUCUCUGCUCUUAGCCUCGACACCGCUGCCGAGUCGUGGGAUGGGUGCAGUGAUCAUGCGGAGCUGCACAAAGACGCCACAGAAACCGCUGUGGAAGAGGAGGAAGAGGAAGACGUGUGCAUCCCGUACGACUACGAAUCGGAGAUGGAGGAGUGCAGCCAGUACACCUUUAGCAACGCACCAUACAGCCCGUCCACGACGGCGGCGCUGGCGGCCGCGACGUCACCGCCGAUGGACGCGGCGACAUCUUCUUGCAGACGGCCGGAUACACCGCGGAUCCCUUCCAUGCUGUCUCUGCCCAGCAGUGCUGCCCAGAGUCUGGAGCAGGAACCGCUGAGUCCACAGUGGUGCGAGCGCCAGCGCCGCGAUAACGCCUCGCACCACGCUGGCGAGCACUAUGCCUGGCAGCAGGGCAUGCGGCAUGCGACCGCCUCGGCACCCUCGCAUAUGCGCUACGGCCUUCGUUCCCUCGUGCGAGAGGCGUGCUGCCGCGAAAUUCAAGCUCUACGCUCGAAGCCCGCCGUCACGUUUGUGCAGAUGGCCGCGCCUCAGUCGGAGAGCCAUACUCGUUCCUCGAUGCGUGCGUCGUGCAUGCUGGCCUCGGCCACGUCGACGGCGCAGCGUAAGGCCUGCUACAUCCAGAUCGUCACGGAGCACUGGAAGGCGCUGGAGGAACAGCUCGAGGAGCUGUUGGCGGAGACGGAGAAGGAGAGCGCGGCGGCUAGCGAGUCGCACCUACGCUCUGUGGGCUACGCCCUCAAUGCCCUAUCCCUCUUCAGCAAUGACCCGCAGCUCAUCAUCCGUGAGAUGAAUAUGGGGCACGUCGAGGAGCAGCGCCGCCAGCGGCACGAUCGCGAAGCGCAGUUACUCAUGACACUCGAGUCGCAGGGGCGGCUCUUCUUGUUGCCCGCCCUAUACGCGGAGGAGGUCGAGGAGCCGGUGCCGGUUCUGCACAUCGAGUCCGUGUUGACCCCGAACGAGAAGAUGGGCGAGUACACGCACCCCUGGCAACUGCUGUCGCCCGACGCGUCUCUCUACUCGCCGUCACCAAGUCCCACGCCGGACGAGUCCAUCGGCGCCAUCUCCCCGUGCUCGUCGGGCUGCAUCUCUGCUACAUGUUCCCCCAUGCUCGCCUCACAGCCGCCCUCAAUCGCGUCCACUCGGCUAAAAGUCAGCCGCCGCGACGUCUGGAAGGACAUGCAGCCACCGCGGUUGCCUCUUCUGGACCUUUUCAUGACGGCUCCGGCUGUGGUGCCGUCCACCGUUGUGGCAAACAGCGAAGUCGGCGUGCCUUACGUCAUGCCGGUAGACCCCACCUACGCGCAGCACGAGCUGAACCGUCAGGGGACUCUCACUCAAGUCACUGUGGCCGACCCUCUGUCCUCCCCGCAGCUUUCCGGUGCCACAGUGCGAGGCGGGAGCACAUCUGCUCGCUCCUCGGAUGACCAUCGGCAUCCGAUGCUGCUCGAUGGCACGGAAGACCUCUGGGGCUCGUACGUGGAGGAGGACGUGUUCGACUACGCAGAGACGAUCAAGCUGGGCGAUGCGGAUGUGCUCUUGUUCAGCUUCGAAAUGAACGAGGCGGUCACUGCAGCAGGACCUGCGGCAGCGACGCGAGCGAUUCUGACGGAUGGCUGACGCAAAGAAAAGACAGAGAACCUUGUAACUCGAAGAGGGCGAAGCAGUUUCCCAGAGUACAGCGACCGGGUACGCGAAGGAUGGUGAAGGCUGUAAGAGGAAAAAGGCGCCUCAAGCGAGAGGCGCAGGGACGUACUGCCGUGUGUGAGGUCCUCUUUUUGUGUUUCCGAAUGCACGGCCAACGCGUCUUGGCUCUUUCUUUCAUCCGUGCGACUACCUCACCAUCUCACACCUCAGCCUCUACAUCUUUCUUCAUGAUGUUGUUUCGACUUCUUUUUUUUUUCUGCAGCGGCAAUGAUGGGUGCACCGUUCUGUCUCUCUUUUGUUUUCUCUUUUCUCCUUUCUUUGUUGUGUCUUGUCUCUCUCUCCCUCUGGCUGAGUUCUGCUGGCUACGAUGGCAGCAAUACGGUAGUGAGGCGCGAGGUAGCAUCCCGGUUACAGCCUUUAGCAGAUUUCCUCUUUCUCUCACCCGCCUCCUCCUUCCCACUCACCGAUGCACGUAUAUGAAGGCAUCCACAAACACCUUCAGACAUGCAUGCGUUGUCACGAUGCUCCACCCUCUCCCACUUCUCUCCUUUUGCUUGUGAGAUGAUGAUGACUCUCAAACAUCCAGUUUUGAUUGUUUUUUUCGCUUGGGAGAGCGGCGGCUUUGUGGGUCUGUAUGUGUGUGUAUGUGUGUGUGUGUCUAUGUCUGUUAGUAGCGGCGCAUCUCAUGCUGUUUUCCUUCCCCUUUUCCCAAUUCUCUGGCUUGUCUUUUUUCUGUGUGCUUCCCUCUGUGUUUCUGCUUUGCCUCGCUUCUGUGGAUGAUCCCCCCUCCCUCUUCUCCUUCGUCUGCCUCGCCCUCUCCCCCUCUAUCUCUCUCUGUGUGUAUUGACUGGGGGCUUCUUUCAUUGGUUUUGUUUUUCCUCUCCAUUCGAGUGUGCGUUUUUUUCUUUGUACGUUAUUUUCAUCUUUUUGAUCUGUUUUUUUUUUCCUUCGUCUUCUCACUCUUCAUGACAGCGGCGUUUUCUUUUGUUUUUAUUUUAUUACCUCUUCUAUUUUUCGUUGUUUUUAUUUGCACUGCUUCACAUGGGGUGCUUCUUGCUCUUUUUCUCUUUUUCUCUUUUUUUUUGCUUUUCAAAUUGCCGUGUUGCCGUUGAAACUGGUUAUUGUUGCCUGUUGAUCUUUCCAUUGGUCUGCAGUUUGGUAAGAGCUUGCCCGUUUUUUUUUUAUGUGUGUGUGCGUGCCCGUCCGUCUUGUCGGUGGUUUUGUGGCGCAACCACCUGUGUGUGAGCGCCAUCGGCUUCUCAUCCUUUUCCCUCUGCUAUUCUCCCACACUCAUAUGCACUUUCUGCAGGGGAAAUCUUCCCGUGAUUCUGUGCAAUGCUGCUCAUCGUUGCUUGCUCAAUGAUGAGCUCAAGCACAGGUAAGCUUGCGGCUGCCGCGCCGUUCGCACGAGCUGUGUGCAGGGCGAGGAAGAGGAGGAGGCGAUGUAUUAUGCGGUAGAGGGAGAGCGGCCAUGGGAAGAACGUGAAGUGAGCUCGACGGGCUUGCGUCUCCUUUACGUGCUUUCUCACGUGUGCCAAUGCCGUUUGUUUGGCCGUGUAUGUAUUAUUAUUAUUGCUGUGGCGAGGGUGUGCGUGAAGCACUUCUCUCUUCAUGCCUUCUUCGGUUUCGUCUUCUAGCAGCUGCUCGCUCCUUUCUUUCUCGUGCGUGCGAGGCUCUGAUCGCUCCUUGCUCACGCUCCAGUCUUUCUAUCAGAGGCGUGAGUGGACACCCCUUCCCUCGUUUUCUCUCACGACACCCCACUCCUCUCAUGUUGACUUUGGUGCUCUCUCGCCUCGUCGCUUUCCCUUCUGCAUUUCUUCUAGAGGAUGAUUUCAGCUGCGUGUUCGGCGGGACGGCGUGCCUGUUUCGCUCUCUCUCUGUGCGCCUCGCUGCCCCGGCUUUUUCCUUUGUGCGUUUGUGUGUUUCUCUCUCGCCAACGACUAGUGCAGGCGGAUGCAACUGGCGUAAGUGGUACUUCCCUCUUAUCACCACCCCCUCCCCCACCUCUCACGCACGCAGACGGUGCGCUGCCACCACAGAGCAACUGCUGCUUCUUUCCCCUACCAAAUCGUUGUCUCUCUUCGACGGUGCUCAUGUUUGUCCUCCUCUCCCUUCCGUCGUCGUCGGUGUGCCCGUGCAUGUUUUUGUUUUCUGGGGAUUUUUCGUUUGAGCCUGCCUCUUUCUCUCUCUCUCCGUGAGUUCAUGAUCAACUGUGGCUGCCUUCCCCUCCACUGUGUGUGUGCAGCUGUGCGUGCAGUGCGCUUACGUGGACGCGUGUGAGCACGCACCUGUUGACCAUAAAACGUGCUUCUCUUUCUCAGCCCCUUGCAAUGUUAAGCUUCUGCGGGGCGCGCCUUCAAAGACACACGCACAUGCACACGCCUUUCAUGGCUGCACGCCCCUCGCCUGUAGGGGAGAAGGGAGCCACAGCGCCGCUUGGUUUGUUCGAGGCAACGCUGACCUCCCCGUUCACUACUCAUCGCCGUCCCUUUCGUUGCUGUUGUUUUUUUUUUUCCUUUUCGCUCUCUUCUUCGUGCCACCCAUCGCCACUACUAGCCGCCAUCAAACAAAAGGGAAACCGCUAUUACUCCCUCUUCCUUCUCUUCCCUCUGUCACCCUUGCGCCGUGCCCUUACGCCACUCCAGCCCAUGUUCGCUGAACAACCCCCACCAAAAAAAAGAAAAAAAACGGCACUUCAGCUUUAUUGUCUUGCGCCCGUGUGUGCUCGUUUUCUCGCUUUCGUUUGCUCCCCCCUCCUCUUCCCACUCAAAACUCGUCUUUGGAUAAAUUGGACUUUCUGAGGGUUUGUGUCCCACUCCACAUCCUCCCCGUCUGCCGCUUACUACUUUUCUUUUUGUUUUUUUUUCCGGGGUUUCAAAGUGAUCACUUCGCUGGCGUAUGGAUUGCUUUUUGUUUGGUUUACUUCAUAUGUGCUCCUUGCACUGAUGUGCCCCUGCCGAUGGUUCCCGGUUUUGUCUGUUCGCGCUCUCUGUCUUUCUCUGUGGGUUUGUGUUUGCUUAUCUCUUCUUUCUCUGCGUUUUCUCUUCGCCUUCGGAUUCUCGUGACGGGACCCAUCGAGUGUGCAUGUCUUCUAACCUUCUCCCCCCUCAUCAUCUCUGCCGACCUCCCUCCUUUGGUCCCUCGUGUGUCUCCCUAUCUCUAUCCCUCACUUUCUUUGUGACAUCGCCUACACCGACAUGCAUCCGCACGCGAUCAUAAAGACGGAGGGCACUCUUCUCUCACGAAUCCUCUUUACCCUUCCUAUCUCUUCAUUGAUAUUACGCAUGGCGCACGCCAAGUCUCCAGCCCCGCCUCAGCCUCCGCCUCUUCUUCCUACUCCUCCCCACGAUGGGAUGUAUUCAUUUCGAUUCUUCUUCCGCCCAUUUUUUCCCCCUUCUGUGCCUGCGUAUAUAUAUAUAUAUAUAUAGACUCCGUUCUUCUGUCGCCGAGGGCGUCUCUUUUCAAUCCGCCUAAGGAGGGGGGCUUUUCUUUCCUUUUUUUGGUUUUUGUUGUUUUCUGCUUUCGUUCCUGUGUUUGCGUGGGGGCGUGUUCUAUUUUUUCCCCCCUUUUCGUUGCUCUGCUGUUUUUCUUGCAUUGCCAUGCACUGAAGUGCGUGCAACGGCGGCGGAUGACGAUAUGUACGUAUUCAUAGCAAACCCAGCAACGCAGAAAACACACAACAACAACCCCCCUCCCCUCCACAAAAAAAAAGAAACACCUACACCCACGCGCACAUGCACCCAUACUAAUAACACCAACAACACCAUCUCCUCUCCCCCAAACUUAACAGCAGCCAAACACAAAGCAAAAUAAAACCAGCCAACAAAAAGACGUCUCAUCUUUCCCCCUCUCUGUAUUUUAACUGCACUGUUCCUGACUUUCUUUUUCCAUGUUCCCACACCGCUGCACUGAUGAUGCCGGACAACGCGGCGUGGUACCGAGGCUCCGUACAGCCCAUAUACUGUGUGGGGAAGCCAUGCAGCACCCCCCCCCUCCCCCUACUAUCCCUGCCAGUGCUGAACUGCCUCUGGUGGUGGUGACAGGGCCGGGGUGCCUACGACUUGGGAAAGCCAGAGCGAUUUAUCGCCACGGAGGCCGGCGGCCACGUCCAGGACGGCGCGCUGUGUCGGGGCGACCCGCCACCGGGGACAUGCUUGUACCACACGCACGCAUGACGGGCAAAGUGCCAGCGUGACUCGAGCGUAUCCCACCCGAUACUCAGUGCCCACUCGUGUGGGCGAGCCUGAGCCGCCCUGAGGGGGGAGCACCACGUGGUGACUGGCACAAUGGGAGCGGCUGUGAGGCAACCUGGGAGACGGCGGGUGGUGGGUGGAGUUCGAGGCAGGGGCCGUGCUCUCAGAUGGCUGGGUCGGUGCAUUGCUGCAACGCGUGUUUCACGCUGCUCCGCAUCACGCGGAUGGGGUCUAUGGCAGGCCGGGUAGAGUGCGCUCAUUCACUAUGGCAGCAUGAGCACGUUGAAGGAAACGAAAAUCCAACUCCGUUGCUUUCUUAGAUGUUGCUCUGCGCGUGCGCGUGCUUGGCGUGUGCAUAUUUGCCUUUUUUUUUCGGUGCCUCGCUUCGCCGCCUCUUCCUUCAUCUUCACCGCACACCCUCCCGUUCCACCCUCACCUGCCACUCCCAUUCCGGUCGAUUUUCUUUUCUUCGAUGUUCUUAUGUGGAGUAGCUCUCUCGUUGCCUUUGUAUAGCUCGCUUCUCUCCACUCUAUCUUCCUAGAUCGCUCUUUCUCUUUCUUGUCCCUGUAUCUUCGACAGCUCGAAACUUCGUCAACCGACCAGCCUACGGAGGCAAGGGCAUGCACGCGUGUCUAUGAGCGUUUAUCUUCCAAGUUUGCCAUCUUCCGUGAGGGUAGGGGGGUAUUGGUGCGUCUGCUUUGCUUCGCUGCCCCAUCCCACCGCCCCCCCUCCGUCUUUGCCGCUGUGGAGCGUGUGUGCGUGUCUCCUGUGCCUGCAUCUGGAAGGUGCGUGCGUGUGUCUGCGAGGCAGCGAAACGAGCGAUGCGAUCGCAUGCAUGUGUGCCUUUUCUGUUUGCCUGUUUUUUUUUAUAUUGAUUUGCUGUUAUUGCCGUGCCCCUCUUCCACUCUUUCUUCUGUAUUCCUUGCUCCCCUUUCUCGAUUGGGGGAGGGGGCGGGCAUUUUAUUUUUAUCUGUCAUCUGUACAUCUCGGCGGUGCUGCGAUCCCCUCCCUUCCUCACCCUCACACGCACACGCACAUGAACACACGCAUCCCCAUCCUCUCUCAUUUCUUCCUGCCAUUGUCGACGAAGUUGUGCUACCCUCUACAGCAGAGAAGAAAAAAACGAUUCCUAUCUGGUUUUACAUCUCUUCGACUGAGGCGACUCUGCUUCGCCCUCUUCUUCCCGUAAGAGCCUCUGUGUCUCCCGGUCUCUGUCUGUCGCUGUCUAAUCAGCUCUCUGUCGACGGCUUGUCUUCUUGUCCGAGUCGUUGGGCGUGUGCUUGCGUGCGUGUGUGCGCUUCUUUCCUCGUCUCAGGCAGAGAUGGAAGCGAUGCCCCUCAUGCUCCACUUGUUGUUUCGCCUAAGUUUGCUUUUUCUUGCCAAGUCUCUUCGCUUUUCCUUUGUUCCCUUCUCUUGUGCGGUCACUGUGUGCGCGAGGGGAUCGCUGAAGAGGGAGGGGGGGGGAUAAGUAAAGUUUGUGGAGGCGACGGAAGAAGAGCGGCUCAAGGGGAGUAGGCGAAGAGGCGGUGAGGAAUGUCGCUAAACUGAACCUCUCCUGUGAGCGCCACCGCGGAGCUGCCCCUUUCCAUCUUUGCUCGGACACCCACACAUGAACGGACGCACAUGAAUGACCUCUAUUUUUUUUUUUCUGUAGCCGAAUCGAGUACAAACACAAGCGCGCCUGUCCGUCGAGCGAGAGGGCGAAGAGGGGAACAGGAGUCUGCAACGCUUUUUUUUUGGACUGCAGUUUUCUUCGGCCCCCUCUCUGCAUCUCCCUUUUUUUUUGUGCGCUAAGGGGCUUGCUGUUGGACUCAUCAGGAUCAUCAAGCUAUUCUGUGCGCUUUUUUGCCGCGGGAUGUGUGCGUGUCGCUCUCUCUGUCCCUUCCACCCGUCUUCCUCCCUCACUCCGUCUGUUGCUGCGCUGCCAGGCUCCAUUAAUGCAUUCCUUGCCUGCCUCUCUUUCUAUGCUAUCUGUUUCUCUCACCUGUUGUAACUGUUCUCGCUUUUAAGUGUGCAUGUUUUCUUCUUUGUGAUGACCUGUGCGUGCGUGUGUGUGUGCGUGGAAGAGGACCGUCAUGAAACCAAAGCCAAAGGCCCACCCCUUCAAAAGAAGAAUGAAAAAACCAAGGCAGUUGGCUCGAUUCUUCACCACCACAGUGUCUCUCUUUUUUCCUCAGAAUGAGGAGAGUAGAGUAAGCUGCAUACAGGUCCCCCUUCCCUCCACACCAUCACACACACACACACACACACACAACUGAAGAGUCUUCAAGUAGAGAGCGAGUGAGCGUAAGGAGUCUCAGCGGCAGAUUUGCCUCUCUCCGACAUCUGUUUGGCAGUCUAGCACACCCGUGUAGAUUCUUUCUCACUCCCUUUCGACUUGACAUGCCCAUGUCCGUGCUCGUGUUCGUGUGUGUGUGAGCCUGUGCGCCCCUUCAUCUUCGCUGCUGUUGAGCCACUUGACUGUCUUCUGCCCUUCUCCCUGUUCACCUAUGUAUGGUAUGUACGUUCGAGUGCGUCGCUCGCAGUUGGCAACUGCACAUGCUGCGUGAUACGUUCUGUGUAGGCAUGUCUUCGGCGUUUUGUCACUUGUUCACCUUUUUCUUUUUUUUUCGUUGUUUCCUUUUUACGCCAUCUCUUUUCUCUCUGUUUCUCGCUCACUCCGGUGUGCUGCUGACGAUGCUCACAGAACUUGUUUCCGUGCAUCACCUUCAGCGCCCUUUUCUCUCUCCCUCUCUUCAUUCCUAUAUAUUUCUAUAUUUACCUGCAUAUACAUAUAUAUAUAUAUAUGUGCGUUUCUAUAUAUGCAAUAUAUAUAUAUUGUAUAUGGAUAUAUCUGUGCCGUUGUCGGCUGACUUCGCUUUGUUUCUGUUAUUAGUUAUAUAUAUAUAUAUAUUCCUCUCUUUCAUAUCUCCGCUUGCUUCCGACUUUCUUUUUCUUUUGCUGGUGUUUUCCCUUUUUUUUUUCGCUGCCUCUCUCAAUGCCUUUGCGUGUGUCCCUCUUUCUGUCGAGUGCACAUGCCUCUGUGUAUGCGUGUAUGUCUGCGAGUGGGUGCGUGUGGUCGCCUCUCGUCCUUCUCGGAUGACACACUCUCUCUUUUCUAUUUAUAUCUUUCGUUUCACCACUUUGAGAAUGAAGAAGGCGAAUGUGUGAAUGCAGAAAAAGAGGCGCACAUCAGCAAACAGGAGAGCGCGCGCCCACGAAGGCUCCCGCACACAUGUGCGGCACUCGCUCAAGUCGAUACUUUGCGAGUCUCUUUUCUAGCGCCGCAUCCUUCUCUCUCGGAUGGUGCAGGUCAGCGAGUGCGAGGCGAGGUGCACGUACGUAUUGCCUCUAUCUUGCCCUUUGCUUGCUUUACGCUUGUGGGCUCUACUCAAACAGAACCUUUCCCAUGCUUUUUUUUUUGCUAGUUGAUGUGCUCGCGUACAUCCUUCGUCUCCUCUCUCUCUCUCGAUCUGCGCGCGUGUCUACACUCCUGUGUGCGCGUGUACCGACUUGUUGUUGUCUGUUUUGACUAUCUUGUGUUUCUGUUUUCCUUCCCUCUGACCCACUUCACGCGUUGGCUCUUUUCGCUUCCCUUGUUUGCUUGCUUGUUUCCUCUUCCUAUCUCACGCUUUUUUUUUUCAGUGGCUCCUCCCCUCCUUCUUGAUACGGUUUACACGUUUUCAACUGCACACGCCUAUUCCUUUGUGAUUUUGUUGUGCGUUCCUUCUUUCGUUUUUUUUUGUCUGUGACCUGUUCGCUUGUUCUUCUCCCCGUGCCCUCUCCCCUUGCCUCGCUUCGCGUCUCUCUUUGUCAUCUCUCUGUGUUCCUCUCACUCAGUCUCUCUCGUUGAUGGCGCGCUCGCGAGGAUGUCUUUUUCUGUGGAGGGCUUUCACUGAACUGGUGCGGCACGGCUUCCCUCUUUCUCGUUUCUUGUUUUAUGGUCUAGGUCUUAAGUUGCCCGUCUUAGUGCCGUUAGUGCCAUCUUGCUUCAGCGGGUCUAUGAAAGUGUCGAGAGGGAAGAAAAACUAC